rnacentral:rRNA from 1 species
CAUGUCUUUUUGAAUAUAAUUUAAAGUCUAAUCUGCCCACUGAAAAUUUAAAUGGCCGCAGUAUUUUGACUGUGCUAAGGUAGCAUAAUCAAUAGUUUCUUAAUUAGAAGCUGGAAUGAAUGAUUGGAUGAGAUAAAAACUGUCUCAAUUUUAAAAAUUAAAAUUUUAUUUUUAAGUAAAAAAGCUUAAAUAAUUUUAAAAGACGAGAAGACCCUAUAGAGUUUUAUAUUUUAUUUAUAAUAAAAUUAUUAUUUAAAUAUUUUAUUAUUAUAUAAAAUAUUUUGUUGGGGUGAUAGAAAAAUUUAAUUAACUUUUUUUUUAUUUAAACAUAAAUUUAUGAAUAAAUGAUCCAUAAUUAAUGAUUAAAAGAUUAAAUUACCUUAGGGAUAACAGCGUAAUUUUUUUUAAGAGUUCAAAUCGAAAAAGAAGAUUGCGACCUCGAUGUUGGAUUAAAGUUAAGUUUUGGUGUAGAAGCUAAAAUUUUAAGUCUGUUCGACUUUUAAAACUUUACAUGAUCUGAGU